UGGCGGUGCUUUAGACUAUUCAGGGGAACCUGUCUCGUAAUCGAUAGUCCACGAUACACCUAACCUUUUUUAGUUAUCAGUAUGUAUACCGUCGUCGUCAGGUAACUUUUAAAAACAAAGAAGUUAGCGAUAAAAAUUAUGAUAAUUUUGUACGUCAGAUCAAGGUGCAGCCUAUAAAAAGGUGAGGAUGGGUUACAAUUAAGAUUUAUAAUAACGGAAAAAAGCUUGAUACAGCUUUUAAUGAAGGAGGACUUGAAAGUAAAAUUGUUAUAUACAAAUUUUUUGAAUUUAGCUCUGAAGCGUGC
rnacentral:rRNA from 1 species